UUUCUGACAUGUAUCUGAUAUUGAUCCACUUUGGAAAACAGAGAUGUGGGUGGAUUAGGAUUUUAAAUGGGAAAAGGCCAUUUCAGAGCAUGUCGAGGAAGGAUGGGGCUGGGUGGAAUAUCCAGAGCAGAAUGACACGGUGGGAAUGGGUGAGGGGUGCACCCAGCAUCCAAAAAGCAAACUCAGCCAGCUGAGUCCAAGAAGUAGGUAAGGGCAGGGAACAAAAGAAAGAUCAGAAAGAAACUCUGAAGAAAUAUUUUAUAUCUUGAAAUGUAGCCUAGUGGAGGCUUUGGAAACAAAUGUGAGGCAGAUGUUCCGCCUAAAGCAAUCUAGCACUUCUAGCUGCAGUUAGUUGGUGAUGCUGUUCCAUCUCCAGGAUGCUUUAUCAGGAGGGAUCAGAAAGCUGGCUGUUGGAUGUCUGCCCGUCCCACUCCUGCCCUUACCCUAUUAUGAAGGGAACAGUAUUCUCUCUGUGGUCCCCAGAGCUUGUUCACCAUGCAAGCACUGUGGGAAGUUGCCUCAAAUUCCACUAUCUCUUCAUCACCCCUCUCCCUCUUCCCUAUGAAAAUGGGACAGUUCUAACUCCUUCUCCAUUUCAGCAGAGAAAACAUUUUUCUCAGCCAGUCUUGGUAGCACAAAGGCAGUCACUAGACUAAAUUUAUCAUUUAUUACCCCCAACUUCAGCCAUCACCAUCCAUUUUAUUUUUUUUAGUAAAGGCAGCUUAAUGGGUUUAGACAGAUGAUAAUUCAUCAGAAAAUCAAAGAACUGGAAGGGCCCUAAAAGAAUAUCUAGUUGCACCCACUCACUUGACAGAUAAUGAAGCCAAGACUCAGAGAAGGGCAUGACUCCCCCAAGGUCAACAGCAAGUUGAGGGUGGAGCUACAUCAAGAGCCCAAGACUGCUGGCUACCAGCUCUCUUCCCCCAGCCCCUCUGUAUUAGUUUGUUUUCACACUGCUGAUAAAGACAUACCUGAGACUGGGCAAUUUACAAAAGAAAGAGGUUUAACUGGACUUACAGUUCCACGUGGCUGGGGAAGCCUCACAAUCAUGGUGGAAGGCAAGGUGGAGCAAGUCACAUCUUAUGUGGAUGGUGGCACAGGAAAAGAGAGAGAGCUUGUGCAGGGGAACUCCUCUUUUUAAAACCAUCAGAUCUCAUGAGACUUAUUCACUAUCAGGAAAGACCUGUCACCAUGAUUCAAUUACCUCCCACUGGGUCCCUCCCACCACAUGGGGGAAUUCAAGAUGAGAUUUGGGUGGGGAGAAGGCCAAACCAUAUCACCCUCAAUCACUGACUUUUGUUGUAGGGUGGUGAGCCCUAUCUAGGACUGGAUUGGAGUGUCUACCUGUGAUCUGUGAUUUAUGGGGAUCCUGAAGGGUCCUGUCUCCCCAGCUGCUGCUAUGUGGGUAUAAGACACCAUGCUAGACUCUGUGAGGAAACCCCUUGGUGGCCUAUGUCCUUAAGCAUCAGAGGAUGCUUUGGGCUGCAAGUAACAGAGACCUUCACCUUAGCUGGCUUCAACCAGGAAGGUUAAUGAUCUGGCACCACAGGGCGCCCAGAGUAGGGGGACUGCCAAAGUUGGUACACUUAGUGGCUCAAUCUGUUAUCCCAGGCUGUCUGUGUCUUUUUGAUUCACAUCAUCAGCAUGUUGGUGAGCUCCCCUCCUAAUCAUAAGACAACUGCUGCAGUUCAAGGGCUCACUUCAAGACAUAAAGUCACACCACAGAAGAUGAGCCAUUUCCUCCCGGUUGUCCUUUUUGUUAGUGAAGAACAUUUUCUCCAAAGCCUCCCAGAAGAAUUCUUUCCUCUCAUUGGUCAAGAUUCGGCCACAUGUCACUUUCUUCACCAAUGACGGGCAAGGGAAAUGGGGUUACCAGAAUUGACUUAAAUUGAGAUUUACCCUAGAGUCUUGGGGAGAGGUGGACACUCAAACAAACUCAGGGUUCUGCCAGCAAGAAGAAGGGAAUGGCAGGGGGCAGGCACUCAACAGUACCUGCCACAUAUCAUCACCAUCUGAGAAGAAGUGUAGUGUUCAGAGCAGACUCUGGAGCUAGUCUGGCUAAGUUCAAAUUCUUGCUCUGCUGCUUUCUAGCUGCAUGACCUAAGAAAAUUAUUUUGUCUCUCUGUGAAUCAAAUUAUUUGAAGAAUAUAAUAUAAUCUACCUCUUGGUGCUAUAAAAACUAUGUAAGGUAAUAUAUGUAAACCGUGCAAAUAUAUGUAAUAUGUAAGAGGCCAGCCCACAUAAAUAUUAUAUAGGGGUAGCUGUUGCUAGCUGCUUCCUGACUCCCUUCCCAUCCUACAUGAACACACACUCAUGUUCACAACCCAUAUGCCCAACAUCACUGCUACAGGAGCCUCAUCAUUAUUCCAGAACUGACCUGCAUUUUUCAAAUCUUGAGACUUCACAUAUGCUGGCCUUCCACUUGUAAAGAUAAACUUCCCACCAUCUUCCCCAUUGACAUUUAAGAGCCAGCUCAACACCACCUCCUCCAUAAACUUUUCCUGAUCCCUUCUAGUUGGCAUCAAUCUCUUUCCACUCCACCCUCAAACUCCCCGAACCCUCAGUGUCUCCACUUGGGCUCCUGUGCAUCCUGCCUUGCUGUGUGGUUCUGAGUGAGUGUGUUGGUCUCCUAGGCUGGGAUCCCCUUUAGGGCAGGAGGUUAAAGACUAGGUCAAGAGUCUCUUUAGGAAAUAACUCAGUACCCUGCAUACAACAUCAUCUUAGUAAAAGUUUAUCAAAUCACAUAGAAUUGAAUAAAAAUAUACAGUCUCCGCCUUCAAGGAGUCUAGUUGAGGAACAGGACAGAUACAUGUAAGACAAUUGGCCAUGUAAGCAUUAGAACAUCAGCACCCCCUACAGACCUGGUUCUCCAGCCACACCAAGCUUCCUGCCAUUCCCUUACACCUGCUUGCCUUUGCACAUGCUGUUCCUUCUUCCUCCAAGUUCCCUCUUUGCUCCCAGAAUCUUUUUAUAGCUGACACAGUCCUACUCACCCUUUCAGCCUCUACUCCAUCAUUGCCUCCUCUGUGAAGCCCCUUGUAGUGAUGCUGCUGCCCACUGUGAUUCUUCUCUGUUUAUUAUACCACUCACAUACUCCACUUCUGCCUCCUCCAGCCUGGGUGCUCCUGGAGAGUUAGGACUAGGUCUUUCCAUCUCAGCAUCCCCCAGCCCAGUGCAGAGCUUGGCAUGUAGCAGAUGCUCCAUGCCAACAUACCAUGUUGGUGGAGUGAAUAAGCAGAUGAGAUUGCAGGCAGCCUGUGAGCACUCCUGGGGAUUUAUAUUAGCUCUCUUUUGUCCCUUUCUCAGAACAGAAUCCCUGGGACCCUGGUAACAAUUUAACAACAGGCUGUGUCUUCAGGAGGAAAGCCAGUCGGGAAAGCCGAAGAGUGGGAGCCACACUGGUUGAAGAUGCCGGGCAUCCCAGCCUAGGAGAUAAAAAUAUAAUUAGUGUAAUCCUGAGAGCAGUGUGACAACACCUGCCUGGUACUUGCCUCUGGAAGGAAAGCUGCAGAGAGAAUAGGCACAGCAGAGUGGGGGUUAUACUCCUCUAUGUCAAGUGGCCAGACUGGAAUGCAAAGAACACAGCAUUCUUCUAAGAAGGGUCCACCAACAGGCACGGCCAUGCAAGCACUGCAUAUCCCCCAGGAUUCUGGCAUGUGUUCCCAAGAACAAUGUCUGCAGUGCACUCUUGCAUUUGUCGCUGUUGGCUUUCCAUUGUAAUACAGUGCCAUACCUUACAGUUUCCUGAGCCCUUUCCCGUGUUACUUCAACUAAGCCUUAUAUCAGCUCUGCAGGGACGAUCCUGCCUAUAUUCCAGAUGGGGAAACCUACUCUCAGAGAGAUCAAAGGCCUUACCCGAUCGCACACUGCUAGUAAGAGUGGGGGCUCUGGAUCCAAGCCCAGCGCUUGCAUGAUCUGGUUUGGCUGGAAGGAAAUUUGACAACGGGAGAUUUCUUUCCGUUUUCAGAUCUAACGACAAGCUCUCUGGCCCAUCAGGGUCUCCUCUGUGGUGUCUCCACCAGCCUCUGUUGGCCUUCACCACUUCUGUCUGAACUACCAAGUGCUCCAGCCCUUCCUGAGCCAAAAGGUUGUCUUCUGUUUAGAAGCAUUUUGAUUUAGAAGGUGCCUUGGACUCAAACCAUGGUCUUGUGAGCCACCAGGACUUAUUCUUCUGUGUUUCUGUGUGUGUGUAUGUGUGUGCAUGCGUGCACACGCAUGCAUGUGUAGGGGCACGUAGAGGUGUUAAGGAUGUUGUAGCAUGUAUGAGGGGGUAUGUGGAGAUGUUGGGCAUGUUGCAGUAUGUAUGCUGUAGUGGGGGUAUGCAGGUGUGCAGUGGCCUCUUUGCCCUAAAAGAAGCCAGGGGCUCCUGAGUCCCCCCGAUGCAGGUGGAACAGUCCUGCUUUCCAAGGUUUUCUACCUGGGGAUGAUUCCCUGAACUCCCUGAGAUAGCCAUGUGAGUUGGGCUCAAAAGGUGCUCCUGGGAUGGGUACUUUAGACCCCUGCUACUCAAAAUCUUGCUCCAGGAGCAGAAGCAUAGAUACUACUGGAAGGUUUGUUAGAAAAGCAGUCUCAUACCCUAGCCUGGAACUACUAAAUCUGUCUGCAUUUUAACCAGAUCCCCAGGUGAUCCGAUGCAUUGGAAAGUGUGAGAAGGCCUGGGCGGGGAUAGGAGGAUGAACCUGCAACAGGAAGGAUAUUGGCUCAGCAUAGGGAGGAAUUCUUGCCCACUGAGUGUGUGAGGUAAUGGGCUGGGUGACUAAGAGAGGCAGGAGGGAAGGUCAAAGGAGACAUUUUUCAGUAAAGGCUGGGAUUGGCCAGUGACUUAGGAGGGGACAGAGCUGGUUGUCCCAGACCCUGAUCCAGCCCAGCGUCUCCACUUCAUUGUGUUGGGUGGGCUGGAAACUGGGCCCCCAGCAGGCCACAGCCUUGUGAUUCUCCACCAGUGAGACACCACUGGCGUUGUGUGGCUUUGUAUCAGGAUGAUACUGGCCUCACAGGAUGAGUUAGGAAUUGUUUCUCCUCUAUGUUUUUGGAAGAAUUUGAAAAGGAUUGGUGUUCAUUCUUCAAAUGUUUGCUAGAAUUCAUCAAUGAAGCUGUCUGGUCAUGCACUUUUGUUUGUUGGAAGGUUUUUUAUUACUAAUUUAGUCUCUUUAUUUGUAUAGAUCUGUUCAGAUUUUCUAUUUAAUCUCUAGCCAGUUUUAGUAAUUUGUGACUUUCUAGGAAUUUGUCUGCUGUAAGCAUUAUGGCCUGGGAACCAAGCUUGCCUUCCCUAAGCAGAUCAUUAUGGGUGGGUAGUUCCUAGGGUUCCUGCUGCCAGGUUGGGCAGUUCUCAGGAGUUCACCUGUGCCUGGUCCUGUCCUCAGAUCCCUGAGUCUGGUCUCUUCAUUUGACCCAAGUGCAACUGUGCUAACAAACCUGCUCUGGCCACAAGAGUUUCCUGCCUAGAUCCACACCGCUGUUAUCUUGCUGGUGGACUAGAGCCAGCUUGCAGGUGAGGUAGAAACCUCAGCAAAGUCAACUGCAAUCUCUCAAGUCCUGCUCUGCACCCUGGAUCCUGAAUCCUGCCCUUGAAUGUGGACUGAACAUUUCUGAUCAUUCUGUAAGUGAUCAAAUAAGAACUUUCCCAGGUGUUCAAAAACUGAGGAUAUUUUCAGUAGACUCCUCAUGACUCAAGUUGUCAUAGUAAAAGCUUUUUUGGUUAAGAUUAAAAGAAAUCCACUAUAUUAGGCAGGAGACUCAGCUUGAGGACAAAUAAACCUUGAAAUCUCAGUGGCCAAAUGCAAAAAGCUUGAUUUCUCUCUCACGUGAAGCCCCAGAAGGGUGGCACAGUCCUCCUCAGCAGCUCUCCCUCCACUGAGAUUGGGGAUCUGGGUUGUGCAUUCCUGAGUUCCUCACUCACAGCCACAGGAUGAGGGGGGAGUGCGUGAAGCACAGUCACUGGGUGUUAGCUGCCUGGGACUGGAAGUGACACAUCCCAUCUUCUCAUGUCAUUGGGGAGUAUUCAGUUAGCUGGGCUCACUCUAAUGACAAAGUGCGAUCUUCCUGGAAGUUAAGCUUCCAGACCACUUUAGACAAAAUAGAAUCAGGAAGUUACAGGGAGGUCCACAUGAGAGUCAGGGCAAGAAAUCCAGGCAGCCUCCCAGGACCAGGAAUAGGCACUGGGGAGAAUUCAGAUUCAAGGAAGUUCCUCUUGGGCAUCACAGGUCACUCUUCUCUACUUUGGGUGACCAGCUGAUUCUGGGUUGCCUGAGAUGUUCUGAUUUUAGCGCUGAAAGUCUUGCGUCUUGAGCAAGCUAAAAUAGUUGGUUGUUCUAUCAUCACUUCUCUUUACCUAUUGGCUUCAGUUUUGUUGUUUUUUUUUUUUUCUCCCUCCUGGCUGAAUUCCUUUAUCUCUAUGCAUGUGGCAUAAAGUCUCUAUCCCAGCCUGGGAAGCUGCCAACCUCAGUACCUCCAACCACCUAACUAAUGCACUUCCUCAAUACUAGCUCCAAAUUUUCAGGAAGGACAAAUUGAUUAUUCUGUCUCAGGUCUCACACCCACCCAAGUAGAAUAAUCAUGGCCACCUGGGCCUAUCCCUUUAAGUGAAGAGGAAGAAGCAGAAAAAGCAGAGAGGGUCAACAGACACCCCAAGUUCAUGUUAUUGCAUGGCCUAUCAAGAACUUUCCAUUUUAACUACACAGAAGACAAAAAUAGAAGAGGACUAUAUUUACCCCGCCAAAGGACAGUGAACCUGGGAUAAGAGCUGAGCUCCAGCCCCUCCCCUGAAGCCCCCCACACACAGAAUUCAUACAUAUUGUCAGCUACGGUGGUAGGCAGAAAUGUAAGAUGUCCCCCCACGUUCCCAGCCCUGUGUUCACCCCCCUCUCCUUGAGUGUUGACAGGACCUGGGAAUAUGCUGGGAUGGUCCCUCUAGUGAUUAGAUUACAUUAUAUGGCAAAAGUGGUCACAUACUCACUUUCACAAUUAUUGUAUAAGACACUCAUUGCCAACUAGAGAGAGAUUCUCCUGCCGGCCUUGAAGGAGCAAGCUGCCAUAUCGUGAGAGGCCCACUGGCCAGGACCUGGGGUCAGCCUCCAGGAGCUGAGAGUGGCCUACAACUAACAGCCAAGAGGAAAAUGGGACUCUCAGUUGUAAGAACACCAGGAACUGAAUUAUGCCAACAACAUGAAAAGGCUUGGCAGAGGACCUGAGUCUCAGAUGGGAUUGCAGCCCCAACUGACAUCUUGAUUUCAGCCCAAUGAAACCCUAAACUGAAAAUGGAGCUAUGCCGUUCUUGGACUUCUGACUUACAGAAGCUUUGAGAUAAUAAGUUCAUGUUGGUUUUAGCCACUAAAUUUGUGAUAAUGUGUUACAUGUGCAUAGAAAACUAAUACAUCUAACAGGAAAAAAUCAUAGGGGCAUUAGGCAAGCCCAGGAAAGUAAGUUUCAAAUGUUCAAUCUUAAAUCCAGUGUCCACAUGCACAAAAUAUUAAAUCAGCUUUACUCCAGAGUCCAGCUUUCCUGGGCCACCCACAUUUCUCACCACCCAAUCCUCGCCGUUUGGGGCUGCGGCAAGGAGAGCUGUCCCCCUCCAUGGGGGCUGGCCUGUGUCAUCAAAAAGGAAGCAGCAGCCAUCCCCCAAGGAAAAGGAAGAGUGUAACACUGGUUUCCCUUUAAACAUUUGGACGUAUGAAAAGGAUUAAUAACAACUCAUUUGACAAGGGUGACAGACAUCCAGCACUCCCAUACAUAGUUAAUGUGAGGAUAAAUUAGUUUAGCUUUUCAGAGUACAGUUUAGCAAGAUAUAUUAAAUUGUAAACUACACAUAUCCUUUAAUCUAGCAAUUUCUCUUUUAAGAAUUUACGCUCCAGAAAUAUUAACACAGAAACAAAUCAUAAUGCUCAAAGAUGUUCACUGCAACAUUGAUUGCCGUAAAAAAAAAAAAAAAAGGCGGUAACCUACAUGCCUGUCAAUAAGUGAUUGGCUAAAUAAACUGUGGUACACUCAUACUGGAAUACUAUUCAACCACUGAAAAAAAAUAAGGUUUAUUUCUAUGCGGUGACAUGUCUAUGCUGUAUCUGUGAUAUACUGUUAAGGGGGAAAAGCAAGUUGCAGAGCACGAUGUACUGUAUAUCAUUUUUGUUAAAAGUAAUUACAUAUUUAUAUGUUAAAAUAUGCCUAGUAAAGAUGGAAAAAUAUAAACUACAUUUUUAGAAACAUUUCUUGAAUUAUGGGGAACUUUCUGUUUUACAUAUACUUCUAGAUUAUAUGAUAAGGACUUUAUUAUACAUUUCUGUAUCGUUAAAAAUAUUUACUACGUGCA
rnacentral:lncRNA from 1 species